CCUCUUUAAUGGUUGCAGCUCGAGCUCCUUCAUUUGCAGAGAAUAGCUUCUGAAAAUACUCGGAGAUAACAUUGAGGAUCCCUGCCUCUUCAUACUCAGGUACUCCAUCCUCCUUUUCUAUCACUGAGAACUUAUUUAUCACCGUUCUACCUCUAGUGAUGGCAUGGAAGUAACCCGAAUUUUUAUCUCCUAAGGCAAGCCAUAACUGUCUGCUUCUCUGCUUCCAAUACUCUUCCUCUGCCUUGUAUGCUAAGAGCAAAUUAGUAUUGAUAGUCGAUAACAGCUCUUGAUUGUGAUCUUGACUAGACAUUGCCUCUUCAAGUUUUUGACGAUUUUCCUCAAUAAGUUUUUGACUACUUUGCUGCUUAGCCCUAGACCACUUAACAAUUUCCAAACGACAUCUGCUAAUUUUUUCCUCCACAAUGUCUGUAUCAUAAAGAUUCCAGGCCUCUUGAACAAGGGCUGUGACUUCAUCGUUGUUUUUUAGACGCCUAUCGUAACGAAACACUCCUUUUUUCUUUUUCUUUGACAGGUCAAAGUGGGUAAGAAGUGGUCUGUGGUCUGACCCUUCAAAGCAAAGGUAAAUGCAUCUACUAGCAGGAUAAUCUUCAGCCCACGCUCCAUUGGACAAUGCACGAUCAAGCCUGCAAUGCACAACAUGAUCAUGUCUCUUUCCACGCCAAGAUAAGAAAUUCCCUGAAUGUCUUAAAUCAUACAAAUCACAUUCCGCCAUAAAUGAUCUAAUGUCCACAAAAGUUCCUUCAUAUCUUGCAGGUCCUCCUUGUUUUUCAGAAGAAUCUAUGAUAUAAUUGAAUUCUCAGUAAGAUACCAGGGUUCACUUCUAUCUUUCCCUAAACUGGUAAGCUGAUCCCAUAUAGCUUUCCGCUUUGAUCUGUCUGGUUCCCCAUAGAUGAAAGUAGCAAAGAAGUGUUUACCCGCCGCCUUAAUCUUUGUGUCAAUAAAGUUGUUGCAGGAAUAAAGGAUUGUCACUUCUACUUCAUGUUUCCAGAGAAGGGCCAGACCACCACCUCCUGGGCUAUGCGGGGGAACAAGGUGAUGUGCAGAAAAAUUCAUCCAGUUUAAAGAGGUGAGGGUUGUCUCAUUGGGGUUCUUGGUUUCCAUAAGGAACAGAAUUUCUGGUGAGAUUGAAGAAUGCAUCUCACGCAGCCGUUGUACUGUUGUGGGGCUCCCCAAUCCACAACAGUUCCAGCUCAGAACUUUUAAGGAAUCUGAUUUGGUAGAUGGUGAAAAUCCACCUUAUCUUUCACUCUUGCAGGUAUAAUAGUUACUCGUGGAGUAGGUUGACUUGAGGAAGGGUUGGAGGCUCCAGGUUGGAGGAGAAGCUUUUGCUUUGUUUUCGUGGUUCUGCUAGGGCCAGCAGAUUCUUGUAUGUGAGCUUCAUUCUUCUCAGGUGUGGAUUUCCUUUUAGGGGAGUUCUGGAUAAGUCCCUUUCUUUUGCUUGAUUUUGCUCCCAGCAAUGGUAAAGCAGCUUUGUUUUGGGGUUUAGCUAAAGGUGGACGUCCUCUUUUCUUUUUUGCAGGAGCAACACAGCUUGUAGUCUGAUCAGCCGGAUGACUUUGUAGGUCUUGGUACUGAGAGAGAUUAUCUUGUGUUGGAAGAUCUUCAGAGGCAAGGUAAUUUUGGUUUGAGAUGAGUGCAGCUUCCAGCAUUAUAGAAGCUGUUUCUGCCAUGAGUCCUUUUUCUUCUCCUUGAAAAACUCUUCGUUUUCUUGCAGCGCUUUCAGUUGGGUGUGCACAACUAACAUAUUGCAGAGUGACGUCUCUAAGCUCUCCCAUGAUUUGGUCAUUAGUAGGGAUGGGAGGAGGAGGUGGUGGAGUAACCUCAUAAGAAUCCAGGUUUCUCUCCAACGGGGGACGUCUUGUUCUCGAAGUUUCAGAGCUAUCAUUUCUAGGACUGAGUCUAUGUGUGGCUCUAACCCUCCAUUGAGGAGUCUGAGAAGAAUCUCUUCUUGGCCCCUCUCUAAUAGGAUCCUGAUAUCUUGAGGUACCCCUUUUGUCUCCUGUCUCAUGGCGACCUAAAUUCCUUCUGUUAGGGUUAAAAGGAUUUCUGUGUCUUCUCUCCUCAUAGGGUCCAGCUCGGCGAGAUAGAUGUUCUCUAGAAGUUGAGGUCUACUCCUCUUACUUUUCCAAGAUCUUGAGAACGACUUUGAUUAAUAGAAGGGUUUCUUGAAGGCGCUCUUGAGGGAGAUGAUUCUCUUAGAGAUCUAGGGGCUAUGAAAUUGUCUCUAGGAGUGUAAUAAUUUCUAGCCAGAUCCUUGGAUGCCUCUUCACUUCUGGAAGAUCUGAACUUUGUAGUGUCCUCAUUUUCUGAAACCAGAUCUGGACAGAAUUUCUUUUCAUGAGUAAGUCUUAGGCAAUGUGAGCAGUAAUUUUUGAGAUUCUUGUAGACUAACGAGAUCAGAGCUUCGCUGCCAUCAGGAAAGUCUACCAUGGUGUCAAGGACUAGCGAUUUCAGGCCAUCAACAAAGACCUUUAGCUUUGCUGAAGAAUUGGUUAUUUCAAAAUCCAGAAUUUCUCCCAAGUCUACGCCAAUAGCUUUGAGCAUAUCCUGGUGCCAGUAAUGUUUUGGGAGUCCUUGGAUAUCAAUCCAAAAGGGGAUCUUAGAGGUAAAGGUGUCAGAGAUUGUAGGUUCCCACUUCUGAAGGAUGACCAUCCAUUGAUCAUAGUGGUAAGGCUUAUUGUCUAGUACUUUUUGCAUGUCUUCUUCAAAGUCAAAACAAAACUGGAAGCAGCCUCUUCCCAGAUCUGAACCCGUAGCUUUUCCUUUCAGAUUCCACCGGUUUGAGAGGAAAGGAAAGAGAGACCAUAAUCGUUGGAUAGAUGGGUUUGUGAGGCGAUCCAUUAGAGUUAGGGAAUUAGCUUCGAUGAGGUCUGAAGUGUCCAGUUCUGGUGCACGAAUUCUUCUUCGAAUUGGUGGGGAUAGUUCUCUCUCUAUUCAUUUACCUUUGAGAUGGUAGGGGAUUCUUGAACUCAUGAUUACAGAGGGCGUAAGGUUUGAAGCGGAGAGGCAUCAGGGAUAAAGUAGAGAUUCAAACAGUUUCAGGGUUUCAAACAGGAUAACAGGGAUACACAUGAUUAAAAGUUUGAAAAGGGUUACAAAACAGAAUUAGAGAGUAAAAGCAGAGACACUACCGGGAUGCAUAGAGAAGAUACCUCCACUUCUCGGUGAGGUGAAAACAGUUGAAAACGCCGGAAAAAGGUCACUGGAACUCCAUCUUUGCCCGUUGUGUAAAGCCAUUUUUGGAAGGAACUGUUGGAUAAUUCUGUUUUAGUAAAAAGAGGUAGCUGAGAUCUGGUUUUUCAAAAGUUUCCAACUGCUAAUAGACUGCAUUGGAGAAAGUGCCUGGGAGAAAACUCAACGCUCUUUUUAACCUUCAGUCAAUAGCCUCUGAAUUCUUUUCCUCUGUUUUUUUCUCAUUUCGCGAAUUCUCUCUUCUUUCGUAUCCUCCGACUGAUGAAAUCGACGAGCAAAACUGAAGAAAAUCUUCUCUUAAUCGUGAUCAACGAUUCCAUCCUUCCGUUUUCUCUUUUUCUUUCUUCUUCAUUCUAUGGCGAUUCGAAUUUCUUCUAUUCCGGUCUUUGGAUCUUAAAAUACGUGUAAAAUGUGGUGUGUUUGAGUUUGUGAAGCCCUGGUAUUCAAUUCUCAACCUCUGUCCUCUUGUCUCUUUUUAGGUUGACGAAGUUGACGAUGCUUUCUCUGCACUUCAAUUAUGAGUUUUCCAAAUUCGUUUUUUUCAGAAUUUGAGAGUCAUAAAGGAUUUUGUAUUGAACGAAUCGUUAUCUUUUAGCAUGGCUAAAAGGGCCUUCUUGUGCCAUUUACUUGUUAAAAUACAAUUUGAUUAUGCUUGGUCUCUGUACGUUCUGUUUUUAAAUAACCAAACUCAGUGAUCAAUAAAGUGUGCCAGUGAUUACUUGAUGUUUCCUUGAAUUCGCAGUAAUUAAACAUAAGAGUUAGGAGUCAUAAACAGUUAAGAGGUAGAAGAAAGUUUGAGAAAUAAGUGACCAUUGGAUACAACUUUUUCUGUUUGAAAUGUUAUUGUGACCGAGGGACAAAUCUUUUGAGGUGUAGAAACAACAGAGUCGAUUAAAGAGUUAUAGUGAUUAAUGCUUUGCGUAGUUGUCUUUAGGAAAUGUUCUUGAUCCUCCUCUCUCUCUCAAAAAAGAUGGGUCAAUGUUCUGUUUCUGCGUUUCGUCCAUAUACUUCAGGAAAUGGUAUUCAGACAUUUGAUCAUUCCCUUUAACUUAAACAACAAUAGGGCUAUUACACCAAUUCACUCUUAAAAAUACUCAUCAUCUCAUUUUUAAAGAACUAACACAUUUAAUUUGUUAAGAAAAGACUUGUGAUUUGGGAUUUGAUAAUGCUUAAAAAAAUUAAUCAUGAGAUUAUAUCCCUUAAUCUCUCGUCUAUCCUUGAUGGAUCAAUCUGAUUGCUUGGAGAUCAAAUUGUAUGUGAUUUUUUUUUAAGUUUCUACUUCGUUGUGAUUUAUAUUGUUUCUAUGUUCAGGGCAGAUUUCAUGUAGUGAUCAAGCUCUUCUCUCUCUAUUCUAGAGAAACUUCAUACACAAACACAACUUUCAACUUUCAGGACCGUUCGAAGAAACUGAAAUUAAAACAUGGAAAGGUUCCAGUGGGGAACAUCACCGUUGAUAUGGUAUGGAUUCUAAUGUUUUUUGUGAUUACACAAAGGCUUUAUCUUUUAAACAUACUCGUAUAUAUAGUUUUACAUGUGGUAUUUGUGAAGGUACUUGGUGGAAUGAGAGGGAUGACCGGAUUACACAAUCGUAACCUCAUUGCUUGAUGCAGAUGAGGUAUGGUUAUAAAUUUGAAUCAUAUAGAUAAUCACAAGCUUUUGUUUCAAACUGGGAGUAGAUAAUUAAAUCAUAUUAUUUUUUCAAAAUUUCUGUUAUAUAGAUUGAAGGCUGAAGAACUGAUGGCUUAAAGGACGAGUGAAGGCUGUUACCUCCGGAGACUGCUUAGUGAUCACGGCUUUGAGCCACAACAGAGCUGGACCUCCACCGGAAAAGACCAUUACUUUUUCUUCUCUUAUGGCACCUAAGACGGUGAGUUUUAAUCUGUUCUUUUACCAGAUAUUAGUGUUUGAAACAAAAGCUUGUGAUCAUCCCAACCAAAUGCUGAAGCUGAAAACUGAAAUGAAAACAUGUACAUGUGAAUCGACUGUUUGCUUGAGAGAUAAUGGUAUGUGUGUGGUGAUGGUAAAAGAUUUCGAUUGUUUAUAUAGCACAAAACAAAUUAGGUUACGAUUGUGAGUCUAGAAGUAAAUAGGCGCUGGAAUUUUGAGGAUAUUCCAUAUUUUCAAAUUUGAUUUGAUUUGUUUAAAUUUUAAUUUAAAAGCUGUUAUGGUAGAUAAUUAGGAAUAGUUAUUUGAUUUAAAUGUUAUGGAAUAUUAGAAGGAAGAUAAGGAAUGUAGUUAGGAGGACUUAUAUUUGGCUUUGCUCAUUUUACGGGAUCGCAUAUAGGAGAGUAUAAUUUUUGGUUUAAUUCAUUGCCAAAAUUAGGAGGUUAUAUUCUUGUUGUGAUUAAGACUGAUUUAGUAUAUAUUCUUCAAUCAAAUCGGGUAAUUGAAUCUCUUUUAUGUUAACUACAUUGAUUAUCUGAAUAAUCUAACCGAGAUUUGUGCGCUUGUUUGCAGGACCGGCAAAAUUUGAAAGUUUUGAAAGAGAGGUUUGGGCCGAAAGAGAGAGAAUAAAUCGAUUUGGCCCAAAGAUCCGGACAAAAAAGCAGGUAAAACCCAAAAAAAAAAAACGACCCAAUAAAUAUGGGUUAAGUUGUACUUCAAAAAUGUUAAGUAGAUAUGAAAACUUAGUUAAGGUGUUUGUUUGAAUUAUGUUAAGGAAGACGAACAAAAGGACAUGAUAUGCUUAGUUACACAAUUAGCUACCAAACAACAUCAGAUUAAAUCAUCACAAAUCUUCUUCUUCCCGCCCUCGAGAUGAAUCUUGUGUCUUCACCGCCUUCUAUUGAGUGGUUUUGCUGAAGAUGAAGUGCUAAUUGUUGGUCUUUUAGCACCUGUGGCAAAUCAAGAGAUGACUUAUGAGCAAAUUGGCACUAAAGAUCUACGGGAGAUUCUACUGAGUCGAAACAAGCAUCUACUUCAUAUGAGAUCUUCAUAGAAAUCUAAGUAAGCUUUGAUUAGAGACUGCUAUGAGUGUAAUUAGAGGCAAGCAUAUUUGGUUUUUAGGACACAAGUCAAAGAGUUGAUGUAUAGAGACAUUAUCUGUUAAAGCCUUAGAGGAAGAGCUAGUGGCAAUUGACAUACGAGACGGUCUGGUUUUGCCUGGUGGUUUCAAGGUCUGCUUUGGAAUCUUCGAUGGAAUAUUAGUUCUGCUUUUAAAAUCCCAAAACAAAACAAAUAUAAGAAUCUGUAAAUGCCUUCAGAUUGUUCUCUUAAUGUGUGAUAGUAGAGGAUACUAACCUGUCUUUUGGUUCGGUUUUCCCCAUUUUCACUGAUUUCUCGAGUUUCUCAGAAGUCAUGCGUUCUUCAGGUCGUUCUAUUAUUUCAAGAGGCUAAGCAGUUUCAGGGAAUAGAGUCAACUCUACUGCACUGCUUAUGGAUCCAUCAGUUUAUGUUCCCACUGGAAGACAACUAUCAGAGAUAUCACUCAAUCUGUCCUCAGAGUCUGCAUCUGCAAGACCUACGAGUUCAACAUCUUCAUCAUCAAAAUUGAUUCCUUUCGCUGCACCAGCAAAUUUAGAUGGUUGGUGAUAAUCUUUUCGAUGUUUACGUUCGUCUGAUGAUUGUUGUGAACCAGAAUCUGAAUGCUUGCUGCUAUAUUCAAACCAGUUGUCAACAUUUGAGGUUCCUCUUCCAAAUAAACCAGAGGCCUUUCCUCGUCGAGCAUUUGGUGAAGCUCCGAUAGAAUGUCUUCUAGGUGAUGAAGGUCCCACCAACCUUAAAUUGCUUAAUCCACGUUUCAGGGAUGUUGCAUUAUGAUACAGUUCAUCAAUGUUACUAUCGUAAGAGGAAGGUGGCUAAAGAGUAAGGCAAAGGGUUCAUUGUUUCCUUUGAGAGUCAAUAAAAGGAGCCGUUGUUCAUCUCUUUCGUUUAUGCUUUUUAUGUUGUGUGUGUUGUGAAGCUUGCGUGCUUUUGAGGCGAUCAUUAUGCGAUCGACCUUGUUUAUCGUUCUGUAAUUCAUAUUGCUGAAACGAUCUCAUCUCCGAGUGUUUAUGCUUUGUAAACACUUUCUUUCAAUUGAUUUUGAGUCUAUUACAUUUUCUGGGUUUUGAGCUCUACGAUAGAUCUAAACUCUAUCAUUGGUGCGGUGAUAAGGUUCGUUACAUCGUUUCAUGAUGGAUCGUGAAGGAUCAGAGAUGUUUGAUGAUGAUAGCGUUACUUCUGACUCUGUUUAUAUUCAGAUGAGAAAUUUACGUUCUGGGUUUCAGGGUCUGUGUGAUGCUAAGGUACAAACGGAGACUAAGCUGGUUACGAUGGAGGAGAUGUUGAAAUCGGUGAUGAAGACGUUAGAUCGGUUGGAGGCUCGGGCUGGAAAGCAGGUGGAGGAUCCAGAGCCUUCUCGACGGUCAUUUUCGGGUCAGGUCCAUACGGAUUUGCCUGCGACGGAGAGCCGGUCAACUGGGUUACCUUUGGAGACCAGAUCUAGUCUAUUGGAGAAGAUUAAGAUGCCGGUGUUUACAAGACCACAUCCUUAUGCUUGGAUUUUGCAGGUGGAGAGUUUUUUUCGCGUGGGUCGUUUUAGCGAUGCUGCGAGGUUGGAUUUGGUGUCAUUGAGUUUGGAGGGUGAUGUGUUGAAAUGGUUUAAUUGGGAGGUUUCACGUCAGGAGUUUCAGUCUUGGGAAGAGUUUAAAGACCGAUUGUUGAUUCAUUUUGGUGGAACUAUUGAUGAUGAACCUGGUAAUCGUUUGUUUGCGAUCCGUCAACACGGGACAGUGGCAGCUUAUGUCACUAAGUUUCAGGAUUUGUCAUCUCAGGUAGCAGGUUUGGAUGAUUCUCAUUUGGAAAAAAUAUUUUACAAUUGGUUGAAGCAUGAUAUGAAGGAAGUGAUCAAGAUGAAAGAACCUAAAGGAUUACCAAAUCAUAUUGCUACAAUGUUAAAGAUAGAGUCUAGUUCGUUUUGUAGGAUGGUGAGAGAACGUGGGGAAGUGGUUAAAGAACCUAGUCAACCAGUUACUCAACCAAUACGACCUGUAUUCACUGCGACUCAGACUCGUCCGCCGUGGAGUCCUACUGGUUCUGCGUCUAGUAAGCCAGCAGAGACAAGUCCGAAGUCAUUUGCUCGUCCUCGUAUACGACAUAAUGAUGUAGAGUUGGAUGCGAUGCGUAGUAUGGGAAUUUGUUUCAAAUGCAAAGGGAAGUAUUUCAGGGGCCAUGAAUGUCCUAUGAAGGAGUUGCGGGUAUUGACAGUGGUGAAUGGUUAUGAGUUGGAAGUUUUGGAAGAGAAUAUGGUGGAAUGCUUAGAGGAGGAGCUGGUGUUGACUCUUGCCACAAAACUUGAAUUGCGAACUUUAUCAUUCAACUCUUUUGUUGGAUUACAUUCUCCAAGAACAACUAAAUUGGUGGGAUGGAUUGGCAAAACUAAGGUGAUUUUUAUGAUUGAUUGCGGUGCUUCUCACAAUUUCAUUACUCCUACUACAACAACCAAGUUAAACAUCAAAACGCAGAGCGAGUUGGGUUUGGAUGUGCUAUUGGGUAAUGGAGUCCUAGUACAAGGUAUUGGCACUUGUAGAGAUGUCCAUUUUGGGUUGUCUCACCUUGCAUUUCAGGGUGACUUUGUCGCACUGGAGUUGGGAAGUAUUGAUGUAAUCCUCGGAGUACAAUGGUUGGAAACCUUGGGUAAAUGUUUGGUGGAUUGGAAGUUACAGGAAUGGACGUUUAUGUAUAAAGGGAGGUUAGUACAUUUGAAGGGUGACCUUUCCCUUCAUGAGUCUCCUUUAUCCUUGAAGUCUCUUGUGGCAGCUCCCUCAAUUGGGUGUCCUAGGAUAUUGUUAGCUGCGCUGAAGGGAAGUGACCCUCCAGCUACUCUAUCUCUAGUUCCUCCUGCUGUGACUGAGUUGUUAAACAAGUUUCCACAGGUUUUUGCAAUGCCUUCUGGCUUACCACCUAUACGGUGUCAAGAGCAUGCGAUUACCUUGCAGCCUGGUGUUACCUCCAUCUUUGUGAAACCUUAUAGGUACCCACACGCACGGAAGGAGGUUAUGGAGAAAAUGGUUGCAGAGAUGUUGAGUUCGGGUAUAAUUCGCCCUACUAACAGUCCAUUUUCAAGCCCGGUGCUUCUUGUCAAGAAGAAAGAUGAUUCCUGUCGCUUCUGUGUUGACUAUCGAGCAUUGAACAAGGUCACAAUUCCGGAUAAGUUCCUUAUUCCGGUUAUUAAUCAGCUAUUGGAUGAGUUACAUGGUUCUGUUAUAUACUCGAAACUCGACUUACGCUCUGGAUAUCACCAGAUUAGAAUGAAGCUAGCAGAUAUUGAAAAAACAGCUUUUCGAACAUUGGAGGGUCAUUAUGAAUUCUUGGUCAUGCCUUUUGGUUUGACCAAUGCACCAGCUACAUUCCAAGGCCUCAUGAAUAAGAUAUUCAAACCAUACUUGCGCAAGUUUGUGCUUGUUUUCUUUGACGAUAUUCUGGUGUUUAGUGAUAGUGUUGAGGCACAUGUGGAGCAUUUAAAAUUGGUAUUGCAGUUGUUGGAGGAGCACCAGUUGUUUGCUAACAUGAAGAAGUGUUCUUUGGGAGUGUCUAGUGUGGAAUAUUUGGGCCACAUUGUGUCUGCUAAUUGUGUUGCAACUGAUGCAGCAAAAACUGAAGCAAUGCGGCUUUGGCCUACUCCACACACCAUAAAACAGUUGAGAGGUUUUCUGGGCUUAACGGGCUAUUACCGAAAGUUUGUUCAGGGUUACGGGAUAGUGGCAAAGCCCUUAACAGAUUUACUUCGCAAGGAUCAAUUUAUUUGGUCUCCGGCAGCUCAAGAAGCGUUUGACAAUUUGAAGAAAGCCAUGUCAUCUGCACCUAUUUUGGUUUUACCUGAUUUUACCAAACAAUUUGUAGUCGAAACGGAUACUUCUGGAGUUGGAGUGGGAGCAGUUCUUAUGCAAAGCUAGCGCCCUUUGGCGUACUUUAGCCAUGGCCUUACACCACGCGAGCAGCUCAAACCAGCUUAUGAAAGGGAAUUGAUGGCCUUUGUCAUGGCAUUUCUCAAAUGGAAAGCUUUUACAAUGUGAAAGGAGAUUACAAGUGUAAAAGUAUGUGUGUGAAUGUAAGCUGAAUUGAAUGUGUCUUCCAAGUCGUCCUUGCUCCCUUAUAUAGGUCUACGCACGUGGUAGCUCUGUCCGGGAUCUGCGGAGAUCCUCCUGGAUAUUCGGCAGGGCAGUUCCGAGAUAUCAGGUCCGCUCCGCGAAUAUCUCAUCAUCAGUUCCUAGGUUGUUAUUCGCUUAUCUCCCUUCAUCAGGUGACCGGGCUUAUCUGGCCCAAAUACCCAUUCGCGUAUGUGGGCUCAUCAGCUGCGUAAGUCCCCUACUUGGUGGGUUUGGUGGGCUUUUGUGGGCUGGCUUGGUAUUUUCGCAGAUGGAUUCCUGGAGGGAAAUCCAGCUCCAACAUUUGCCCCCCAGCCCAUUGAGUGAGUAGGCGAACUCGAUGAGCGGACAUAUAUGUCAGGUGAGAUUGCAAAAAUAUUCUUGAUGAGAUGAUAGAUGUGAUAAGAUCAGUUGGUUUUGAGGAUAAACUCAACAAAACAAACGAUUUGAUUUCAGAUUCCUUAACUGAAAGAUUUCGAGGAGAUACGCGAGAUAAGUCGCUGCUGAUGUGGACAACUGAGAUGGAGCGUCUCUUCAGCGUACCGCAUCUGACAGUCCAGAUCAGGCGCAGAGAAGAGAUCUCUGCAAUCUCGAAAAUUGUGGUGAUGAUGGCUUUAAAUAACUUCCCACCUCUCCACUUGACGUCACGUCAACUCACACGACUCUCAAGGUAACUUCUCUCCUCCUUUAUUAUUUACCGUGUUUUGUUUUGUAAAGAUAAAAAAAUCUCGUCUUUUUUCUUUUGGUAUCUCCUUCGUUUCUCUGCUACUCCCCUCUUUCUCGAUCUGCCCUCUUUGCUGUUUUCUUUCAUCUCUCUCGUCCUUCUCUGUCGAAACCCAAAGAUGAGCGACUUCGAAGAUUCCAAGAAUAAAAGCAACCACAGUUACAGCGACGAUGAGAGUUCGUCCGAGACGAGGUCGGCGGCGUCGCCGCCGCGAGUGCAAAGACGCGUCAUAAUUUUAGGCAGAAUGGGUCCAAUUCGUCCGCCGUCAACCAGAGUCGACAAGCCAAAGAAGAAAAAGGCUGCCAAGCAAGGAGGAGGCACGCCGAUGACGAACAGCGACCUGGUCAACCUCCGGAGGAGAUGCCAGGUUCCGGUGGGGGUAACAAUGAUACUCCCAAAGCCGCCGCUGCAUCCUGAGAACGUGCCGAUAGGGUGGUGCUACGCUUAUGCCAAUUUCUUUGAGAAAUGUGCCUUAUUUUUCCCGAUUCUGGCGUGUAUCCUCGAGAUGCUCUACUAUCUCGGCCUCGCCUUUCUCCAGAUGUGCCCGAACUUUGUCCUUCAUGUACUGGCGUUAAUCACCUGGGCUCGGGAAGUAAACAGAGAAUUCAGCUGCCACGACCUGCUUUAGCUCUACCAGGUGAAGACCAAUGCUAGGAGCGACCAGGGGACAUACUACAUCAGUGCUCGUCUCGGAUCUCUGGUCCUAGGCAGUUUGAAGGCUUGUUGAGACACCAAUUGACGAUCUAAGUACUUUUUCUUCAGAGUAGAUCGUCAUUCAAUCGGCAGUUUUGAUCCCUCGAGGAUAACGUGGACCUGGUCUACCAACCUGGGUCAGAUGGAGACCUUAGCCUCUUAAUUUUUUUGUUGUUUGUGUCGAAUUCGUGACUGCUUUUGCAGAACGUUAGUACUGAAACUAAUGUUUUUUUUUUUCUUUGAUGGUUUGCAGCAAGGACCAUGGAAGUUACUCUCUUAGAGACAGAACUCGAGCUGUUAACCCUUCUCCGACAUGGUCAGACUGACUGGGCAACUUUUACGAGAGAUCUCAUCGUAGCUGCUCUUUCCGUAGCUCCAGCAGUUCUCGUAGCUCCAUCAGUUCCCGCAAUCGUCUUUCCAUCAGCACAGCUAGAUCCGAUCGAAGAGGUCCCGCGAAUUGAACCGAUCUCCGAGGCUUAUCUGCCUAUAGGUACGAGUUCUGUUAUUUUAUUUUUAAUGUACGAGUUAUCGAGACAGCCGCGCAAUUCGAGCUGCUAGCUAACACAUGUCGUGCUUUGUCUAUUCAGUUCCUCCUGACUCCAGCUCCACUUCAGAACUCCCCUCAUUAGAAGAAUGAGGUGUCCAAGUCUUCGUGUUCAACGAGCCAACGCCGGGACUCCUGCUUGGGCUAGUGAUCUAUCGGCCGCGGUGACCGCGGCUCGAAACACUCUAGCUGUCUCCGGCGCAUCUGCCUCAGCGUCUCAUCCCUCGCUUCUUGAGAUCAAUACCGGGACCUCUGCUGCAGCAAGUCAGUCAAAUAACAAUCAGGUCGCUUAGGUGUCUGGGCCAUCUGGAGUUGUUCGUUCUAACGGUGCACCGUCCUCUCCGAAGAGAGCUCGGACCUAGCCAGAGGUGCAUCCGGCGGCUGAGUUGGUCGUGAGUGACCAGGGGGUCGCCUCUCCCAGAGAGGAGAGGAUAGAACCUGCGGUUGCUAUUCCGGAGGCAGCUGCGUCCGAGGAUAGGCGAUCCUCGGGCAGGUCCCAUGGCGGAGGCCGAGGCUCCAGAGGUGGGGACAGGUCUUCAAACCAGUCUCAGGAAGUGAGGCAGACGUCCAACUCUGGUGGAAGAUCCGCGGGAAGCAGGCCUUUCCACUGGUCUUACAUUCACGACCGUGAUCACCCGAUCGUUGAGGACGAGGCUGGGUUGGCGAACCUGCUUCGCCACAUCAAAAAGAGGAACUGCCAGGUUCCUGCAGUGAAGAACAUGGCCGAGGCGGCGGCUUAUGCUGACAUGAUGGUGAAGGAGGGCCAGGUAAUAAUCGAUAAAUGCCUCGUUCUAAUUUCAUUCUUAUGCUAGUCGUAACUUUCUGUUUUGCCUUUGGCAGGCGAUAGCUGCCACAAACAAGCUGGUCGCUCUGUAUGAGCAGCGUCUAAGCCAGGUCCCCUUGGCGAGUGAGCUCGAAGAAAGAAAGACCCUCAUCCGGGAGCUGACGUCGAGUGUGAAGGCUGGUCAGGAACGCGAGGUCUCGUUCCAGGUAUACCUUGGUUUUGACUUGUUUGUAUAUAAUUCAUCGAUGAUUCGAUGAUUCUGACCUGAUUGUGAUUUCAGGCGGGGAUCGAGAGGCUGAAAAUGGAGCUGCCCACUUCAAAAGACCUCGAGAAAGGUUAUGCCAAGAAGAUCGGGCUCAUGGGGAUGGAGAUCGGGGGUUUGCAAGCCGACAAGAAGACGGCGAGGAACCUGAUUCAUCGCUUGGACCAGAGGAGGGAAGUGAUUGUAAGUGAUUGUUUUUGCGAAAAAUGAUAAUGAGUAUCAAAAAUUUUCUUUUAUUCUUAUCUCGAAAUUGUUAAGUACAAAAAGAGGUAAAGCAAGCGACGAUCAGGCGUUUGAUCAUCGAGUAGGGACCUGCUCGAUACCGAGGGGUGAUUGAACUGUUGAACUGUCAGGUGAGAAGCUGAUCUUCGUUGAUGGAAGAUGUGAUGUCUGUUUCCCUUGUUGAAGUUUCGUCUUUCAAAUAGAAGGGUUGAGAUGGUAAUUGCAUUUGCAGAGGGAACUGCCUGCAUACCUGGUUAGGGGAUUAAGCCCUUUUGUAAUUCGAUUGAAGUGGUGGCUGCGCUCUUGGGGGGAGCUGCCUACGUACCCUGCCAAGGGAUCAAGCCUUAUCGUAGUUCGAUUGUUUUUGAGUACCUAUUCGUGGUAUUUCUUGAGAUGCAUGGCAUUCCAAGGCCGUAACUCAGGUACUCCGUUGAUAACUUUUACGAGUUUAUAGAGGUCGUCACGUACCACCUCGGUGAUUCGAUAGGGACCUUCCCAGUUAGUUCCCAGUUUUCCAGCGUUUAGCUCUCUCGUGUUGCUGAACACUUUUCGUAAUACGAGCUCUCCCACUUCGAAUGUCCGAAUUUUGAUAUUAGAGUUAUAGUAGCGGGCUGCAGCUUGUUGAUAGUUUUGAACUCGGAUCAUUGCCUGAUCUCUGCGUUCAUCGAUGAAGUCCAUGUUGUCCUGUAACAUUUGCGUGUUCAGGUCCGAGUUAGCAAGACUGGCGGUCCUUCUCACGCUUGGUACUAUGGUUUCGAUAGGGAUUACUGCUUAUAAACCAUAGGCGAGAGAGAACAGUGUUUCUUGCGUUGAUUUACGAGGUGUAGUUCGGUAGGCCCAGAGAACUCCGUGGAGCACGUCGGACCACAUUGAUUUUUUGGAAUUAAGUCUUUUCUUGAUGUUGCUAAGUAUAGUUUUGUUGGCGGCUUCUGCCUGUUCGUUACCUAGUGGGUAACGGGGGGUGGAUGUGGUAAGACGGAUCAACCACUUGUCGCAAAAUGCUUUGAUUUUUCCCGAGGUGAGGUUAGUCCCGUUAUCGGUGACGAUCUCAUAAGGUAUGCCAUGUCGGCAUACGAUAUUUUCCCAUAGGAAGUCCUCGACUUGUUUCUCGGUUACCUGUUGGAAGGCUUUAGCCUCAAUCCAUUUGGUAGAAUAGUCGGUGAUGACCAGCAGGUUUUUUAGUCUCUUCUUCCCACCGGAGGCUUCCAUGGGACCUACGACAUCCAUGGACCACUUCAUAAAUGGGUAAAGAGAAGAUAUCGAGAACAUUUCUUCGGGAGGUUGAUGAAGAGUAGGUGCAUGUCGUUGGCAUUUAUCGCACCUGAGUGAAUGAGCUAUGCAAUUGGCUAGCAUUGUUAGUUAGAAGUAGCCUUGCUUUUUGAUUAUGAGGGCGAGGGUACGUCCACUAUAGUGGCUACCACAUUGCCCCUCGUGCAUGUUUUUCAUGAGGUCUUUUAUUUGUUGCCCGUAGGUACACACCAUAUAGGGACCUGCGACGUUGCGUUUCAUAAGUCUCCCUUCCAUGAUGCAGUACCUUGCGCUCUGGGUUUUGAGUUUUCUGGUCUCCCACUUGUCGGGAGGUGUGAUCCCUCGUUCGAUGUAAUCGAUGAUUGGGAUUCUCCAGUCGUUGUACGGUUCAGGUUCGUAUGAGGCAGGUUGUUCGGGGGUUCCGAGCUCAGGCUCUUCCUCCGCUGCACCUGCCUCCGCAGCUGCUGCGAGGGCUCUAGCCGCGGUGGUGGUGCUUCGAGUUACUCGCGUAAAGUUGCAAGUUGUCGAGGUUUCGAUCCCAGCGUGUUUGACCGUUAGGUCGAUGCUUGGGUGUUCUAUUCCUUCGACCGGUAUAAUUCUUUUAACGAAAGGAUCUAACGUGGAGGCGAGAGCUGCAAAGGCGUCUGUAGAGGUGUUUUCUCCUCUGGGGAUCCUGGUCAAUUUGAACGAUUCAAACUGUUGGGUCAAGGUUUUGACUAGUUCGAGGUACGCUUCCAUGCGCUCGUCUUUAGCUUCAUAUUCCCCGUUGAAGUGGCUGGUGACGAGUUGGGAGUCGCUAUGGGCGUGUAUAUCGCGGAUCCCCAUUCCUUGAGCUAGCUUAAUGCCAGCAAUGAGGGCUUCGUACUCAGACUCGUUUUUUUAAUGCGUUGAAUCCGAGUCGGAACGAUUGUUCGAUAACUUCCCCGGUGGGGGAGGUGAGUUGUAUUCCUACUCCGGAUCCCUGUCGGUUGUAGGAGCCAUCGACGUGGAGGAGCCAUUUCUUAUUGGAGUUGGUUCCAUCCAGGUCCGCUAACGGGAGCUCGAUUACAAAAUCGGCUAGGACCUAUGCUUUCAAGCUGGUUCUGGUGCGAUAUUCUAUAUCGUACUCACUUAGUUCUAUGGCCCAUUUUGCAAGUCGACCUGAUUGAGUUGGACUGUGCAGAAUGGUUCUGAUUGGUUGAGACGUCAUCACUACGAUGGGAUGUGAUUUAAAAUAUGGUCUCAGUGGCCAGUGCCAGUUUUUCCAUUGCUGGAUAACAGGUUUCAGCGUCUAUCAACGUUUUACUAACGUAUUAGAUCGGUUUCUGUCCUUCGUGAUCUUCUCUCACCAGGACGCCGCUUAUCGCGGUUCGGGAGACUACCGUGUACAGGUAUGCGAGGUAUGCGAGGAAUUUUCCUGAGGGAACUCCGAAAGAGCAUUUCUCGGGAUUUAUCUUACUCUCGAAUUUGUUUAGGAUUUUGAAGGAUUCUCUUAAUUGCGGGACGUGGUUUUUUCGCGAGCUGACUUGAUCAGCAUGUCGUCGAUAUAGACCUCCAUCAUUUUACCUAGGAUGUCGGCAAACAUUCUGUUCACCAAUCUUUGGUAAGUAGCUCCAACGUUUUUUAAACCAAAGGGCAUUACUUUAUAACAGUAGGUGCCUCGGUUAGUAAUAAAAGCUGUUUUUUCUUGGUCAUCUGGGCGCAUAAGUAUUUGGUUGUACCCGGAGAAUGCGUCCAUGAAAGACAAUAGUUCGUGUCCCGCGGUGGCUUCGACCAGUUGGUCAAUAUGUGGGAGUGGGAAACUGUCUUUAGGACAUGCCUUAUUCAGGUCCGUAAAGUCGAUGCAUACUCUCCACUUCUCGUUUUUCUUUUUAACGACGACCGGGUUGGCGAGCCAGUCAGGGUAUUUUACUUCUCUUAUCGAUCCGAUCUUGAGCAACCGAUCGACCUCAUCGUGCACAGCUUUAGCCCUUUCGGGACCUAGCUUGCGACGUUUCAGCUUUAUAGGUCGGUAGGUUGGAUCGACGUUGAGUUCGUGUGAGGUUACCUCGAGGCUUAUUCCUCGGAGGUUCGCACUUGACCAGGCGAAGCUGUCUUUGUUUUCUUUGAGAAAGGUUAUGAGAUCCUCUCGUAUCGCUUGGUCGAGGUCCUGACCUAUCCCAACGCAUCGUGUGGGAUCUGAUUCGUCUAUGCAGACCUGUGUUAUCAAUGAUUUUCGAGGUCCGUGUUGAGAAGGAUCAGAGGAUCUGACUGUUUUCAUUUCCGUGAGUUUGUCUUCUAUCAUUAGUACUACGGGGUCAGCUUUUUUGAUAAGCUUGUAGCUGCCCAUAUAGCAUUUUCGGGAGAUGCGUUGGCUGCCGUAUACAACUGCUAGCCCCUUGUCCGAGGGGAAUUUAAUGCAUUGGUGGUAGGUUGAUGGGACGGCUUUCAUGGCGUGUAGCCAUGGUCUUCCCAGUAUUGCGUUGAAAGGAGCUUUCUUGUCGACUACGAGGAAACUCUGGAGUCGCCUCACUCCUCGUGCGACGGUUGGGAGCUGGAUGGUUCCUAGAGAAGUGGUUGUAUCUCCAGCGAACCCGGUAAGAGGCGUUUUUCUGCCUUGCAGUUCGGAAUCGAGGUGCCCCAUUUUUUUGUAGGCGUCGUCAAAGAGUAUGUCAACUGAGCUUCUCGUGUCGAUCAUUAUACGGGAGAGUUCGUAGUUGCCUACAUCGAUUCGAAUAACGAGAGCGUCAUCGUGAGGUUUAUCGAGGUCGGUGGUUUCGCUUUCCCAGAAUAUGAUCUGGUGGUCAGGUCCCAUCAUCGGGCUCUUGCCUUUUGUGUAGGAAUCUGCCUUCCUCUGAUGAGUUUUGAUCGAAUUGAUUGAGUCGUUGCAGAGCUGAGAUCCUCCCAUGAUGAAAUCGAUGCGUUUCGGGGAGAGGUGCUCGGUCUCGCUUCUGCAGAAUUUCGAGAGGCGUAAUGGAAACCUCAUGUUUUUCUUAUGGGGGGCGGGGGGAGGUGUGGUGACUGACCUUCCUGUCCUGCCACCUAGAUCGAGUUCUACAAAGACUAGGUCUAUGCGUUCUCUCCUAGUGGGUGGGGGAGAGUCACCUCCCUCCGGCGUUCGUUCCCGUUUCUUUUGUUUGGGAGUUUGCUCCUCCUCCUGUUCGUCGGGAGGAGGGAUUUCAACUUUAGGGUUUGAACCUUUUUUAGUUUUGCCCCCAGCUGCGAUUAAUUUUUUGACAGUGCGACACUCCUCAGUGGAAUGUCCUCUUUUUUGUGGUACUUGUAAUAUUUUCCGAGGUCAAGUUCUGGACUCUCGUCCUUAGCUACUCUAUUGCGAAUAAGGUAUGCUGCCCUUGCGUUUGGUUUUCCUUUUUGAAGGGUUUUUUAAUUGCAAGGGGAGCGUUUUGCGUUUUAGAUUCUUUGAAUCUUAAGGGUAGCACAGCGAGCUCCUCUUCGGCUUUGGCGAAGUUGAGAGCUUUGUGAAGGGCAUCAGCUAAAGAGACUGGUUGCCUAACAAUGAGUUCCUCACGAAACCUAGAGGAAAACCACAGACCGUUACGAAGGGCUGCUAUGGCUACCUCCUCGUUUAAGUUUGCAAUCUUCGAUUUGAUUGCUUUGAAUUUUGCGACGUAAGAUCGCAGGGAUUUGUUCUGAAGUUGAGUGAGACUCCAGAGGUCGGCUUCAGACGUCCUGUGUUCGAUAAGUACCGAAUAUUGUUUUAAGAAAGCGGAAGCGAGCUGGUCGAAGGUAUCAAUGGAGUUCCGUUCGAGGCUAGCAAACCAUUCGAGGGCGUGACCUACGAGGUUUUCUACGAAGAAACGGCAAUGACCUGCUUCGUUUUCUUCGUCUGUCAGGUACGCUCGAGUUAUAGCGAAACGGAAGGAUCUCAGGUGAGUCUUUGGGUUGCUCGUUCCGUCGUACUCCGGGAAACGGAGUCUCCCGACGUCUUAGAGGCGAAAAUGAGCGAUCCUAUCCGUGAACGGGGUGCUCGUGGUUUCUUCGAUCACGCGAUCCAUGUCGGGAGCAUCGCUCACUGGUAGAUGCAUUUGCCAAUGCAUUUGAGCCAUGUUCGCAUUUGUUUGCGCUGCGUAAUUGCGGAAUGUUUCCAUAUCUACGACGUUACGCGGAUCGACCAGUGCUUGGGGAUCGGUUGAACUGUUAAGGAGGUCGCUUCCUGGUAUCUGGGGAAUGGAUGGCGGAUUAGCGAUAGAGGUUCGUUGUUGCGUUGAGUUCCCGGGAACGCGGGAGCUGGACGCGGUUGUUUGGUUUCUCGUCCACGUGUACCUAGGAGGCAAAUAGCCAAGUGAUAGUGAAGGUGGGACCGGUAGCCUUGGGAAGGCAAGUGUUGUGCUCAUCUCGUUUCCUGUUGCCGGGUUUUCGACGAGAGUGUUUGUAGGUGCCUGCAAAAAGGUGACCUACCGGUUGUUAGGAGGUGAGACGUCUAUCGAGAUGAAGUCUAGACAAGUCCUUGGAGUAGGAUCGAGAUGAAGUCUAGACAGACGGUACCUGUCAGAUCAAUGGGGACCUGGGCAGGAAUCCUAGUUUCGCGGGGGGAAAUUUCCUUACCCGCAGUAUCGCGCUCUACCUCAUGUGCCAAGCGAGUGGAGUCCCGUCUCUGCUGACCCACAAUUACGGCGAGGUUGCGAUGCACAAUUUCUUGGUUUUUGGUUAAGUUGAUCAUGUUCAUGAUCAUUGCGCGGAGCUUGGCCAAUUCUCUGGCAGGUCGCGGAGGGACCUGAUUAGACGGGUUGGCCGGGUUAUCUCCAUUUGGAGGCUGUAUCGUGACGUUUUGUUCUCUGCCCCUUGUUUGCGGAGGGGGAGUGAUUUGGUCAGAUUCAGAAGAAUUCGAGUUUUGGGAGAUGUCCUCCGCAUCAGCGUUAUGGACAGCAUCAACCCUGGUUCCGAGAGGGAGAUCCGUUGGGAGGUGCCGGUCCGUAACGUCAUCGUUUGGGAUCUGAACUGGUAAGCCAGAUCCCGAUAAAUUGGAUGAAUUGGGAUCCAUGAUCAUUGGUCACAAUUGAUGUGUUAGUUUCGGUGUUGGAAUGAUCUAUUUCCGUCCCCACAGACGGCGCCAAAUGUGGGUUCUGAAAUCCACACUAGAGAUUUGUAAUUGAGAUUAUGAGAGUUAUAUUGCUAAGAACGAAUGGACUUUUUGUAUUGAUAAUGACAAAGCUUUUACAAUGUGAAAGGAGAUUACAAGUGUAAAAGUAUGUGUGUGAAUGUAAGCUGAAUUGAAUGUGUCUUCCAAGUCGUCCUUGCUCCCUUAUAUAGGUCUACGCACGUGGUAGCUCCGUCCGGGAUCUGCGGAGGUCCUCCUGGAUAUUCGGCAGGUUAGUUCCGAAUAUCAGGUCCGCUCCGCGAAUAUCUCCUCAUCAGUUCCUAGGUUGUUAUUCGCUUAUCUCCCUUCAUCAGGUGACCGGGCUUAUCGGGCCCAAAUACCCAUUAGCGUAUGUGGGCUCAUCAGCUGCGUAGGUCCUCUACUUGGUGGGCUUGAUGGGCAUUUGUGGGCUGACUUGGUAUUUUCGCAGGUGGAUUCCUGGAGGGAAAUCCAGCUCCAACAGGUAUGAUAAAAAUAAAAAACAGUAUGAAUUGCCUUCAACGAAUAAAAUUAAUGUAUUAGUUGUUGGUGGUUUCAGUUCUACAAUAGGAGAAAGAGAUGUUAUUUUACAACACCAUGCUGGAAAUUUACAACGAAUUUGGAGUACUCAUCCACUUUAUAUGACUUUACAAUAUCCAUUAUUAUUUCUAUAUGGUGAGAUUGGUUAUUAUGAAGGUAUUCCUUGUUCACAAAUAAAAAAUAAAGAAGGGAUUCGUUAUACCUCUUUCGAAAAAGGACAAAGAGAAUAUGUAUCAAUGAGAGAGUACUACAGGUAACUUAUUCAUACACGGAAAUGUCAAGAUUCGAUCAUUGUUAAAAGUGGGAGAUUGUUUCAUCAAUUUAUUGUUGAUGCUUAUACAACGUUAAAGUCAUACCGUUUACAAUGGAUAAGAACAAAUCAGAAAACAAUUCGAGCUGAUAUAUAUAAUAAUGUUAGAGAUGCUGUGUCCAGAGGUGAUAAUGCUCCAAGAAGUAUUGGAAAAUGUAUUGUAUUGCCAUCGUCCCAUACAGGUAGUCCAAGAUACAUGGCUGAAAAGUAUCAAGACGCUAUGGCUCUUUGUCGAUAUUUUGGAAAUCCAUAUUUAUUCAUAACAAUGACUGCAAAACCAAUAUGGGUAGGGAUUAGUGAGUUCUUAGAGUUGACUGGUGAUUUAUCUGGGACUGCUAGACCAGAUAUUGAAUCACGUGUUUUUCAUAUGAAACUAAAACAACUAAUCAAUGAUAUUGAGAAGAAACGUUUUCUUGGACCAACUAAUGGAGGUACAUAUUUUCACAAUCUCUUUUUCUAAUAUAUUUUGUUUUUUAUAACUAAGUUGUUGUAUUCUUUUUUUGGUAUAGUUGUUUACACUAUCAAAUUUAAAAAAACGUGAACUUCCGCAUGCACAUAUACUUAUUUGGUUAAACACUGAUUAUAAAAACCCAUCAUCCGAAGACAUUGACAAAUUUGUAUCUGCUGAAUUACCAAACGUAAAUACUGAUCCAGAAGGAUAUCAAUUGAUAGAGCAACAUAUGAUACAUGGACCUUGUGGAGUAGAUCGACCAACAAAUUCUUGUAUGAAAAAUGGAGAGUGCAGUAAAACAUCUGCCCGUCAAUUUUGUUGCUCUUCUUCUGUAGAUAAAGACGGAUAUAUAUAUAUAAUAUAUCAAAGGAGUAACAAGAAUUCAAGGUGUAUACUGAAUGGAGAUAUAAGGUUAGAUAAUCGAUAUGUGGUACCUUACAACUUAGAGCUAACGAAAAAAAAAAAAGGCUCACAUCAACGUUGAAUUUUGCAACAAGACUAGUGCUAUACAAUAUUUACUUAAAUAAAUCACUAAAGGAGUUGAUAAAGCGACAGUGGUAUUAAAGAGAAAAGGAAAACUAUCAAUAAAGAUGUAAAUGAAGGAAACGAUGCAGAUACAGUAAACGAGAGAGAUAACUAUCUUGAUUGUAGAUAUGUAUUUGCUUGUGAGGCGGCAUGGCGCUUAUGCCAAUUUGAGAUAGAUCACCAAAGUCAACCAGUUCAAAGACUAAGUAUUCAUUUGCAAAAUCAACGUCAAUGCAUAUUUAGAGACAAUGAUCACUUGGAAAUAAUAGCCACUAACAUGAAGAAUCAAAACAACAUGUUUACAGGUUGGUUUGAGAUGAAUCAAAUGAUCCAGAAGCUCGUAAUCUGUCAUACGUUCAAUUUCCAACAAAAUAUGUAUGGAACAAAAGUUCACGAAGUUAGAAUAAAAUAAAAAUUGGUACUCAAUUGGUAGAAUAUAUAAUAUUCAUCCUACUGCGGGCGAGUUGUAUUAUCUUCGAAUGAUAAUCAAUUAUAUAAAAGGACCCACAAGUUAUGAAGAUAUUCUUACCGUAAAUGGUAUAACUCAUAGUUCUUUUAAAGAUGCAUGUGUUGCAAUGAGUCUAUUAGAAGGAGAUGAAGAGUGGCAUGAGACAAUGAAAGAAGCCUCUCUUUGGGCUACAGCAAAUCAGUUGCGUAAUUUAUUUGUGACGUUAUUAGUUCAUUGUGAAGUUAUAAAUCCUUUGAAAUUGUGGAAUUCAUAUUGGAUAGAUCUAAGUGAAGACAUGGUGUUCGAGCAAAGAAAGUUAUUUAAUUUUAGAAGAAUGAAUUUGAGUGAAGAGGAAAUGCAAAGUUACACCUUAAUGGAGAUUGAGUUGCUUCUUAGGCGGUAUGAACAGUCACUGAUUGAUUAUCCUGGAAUGCCAAAGUUAGAUAAUAGUUUUAUAACCAGGUUAUCUAACUCAAAGAUAAGAGAAGAAAAGAGCUAUAAUAUUGAAAAACUUAAGAAUGACCACUUCACUCAGUUUGCAACUUUAAACGAACAACAACAUGAUAUUUAUGAUGCUUUAAUUCGUUCAGUUCAAAACAAACAAGGCGGAUUGUUUUUUUAUAUGGUCGUGGUGGAACAGGUAAAACAUUUGUAUACACCUCUAUCAUUAACCGUCUCCGUACUGAAGAACGUAUAGUUCUUCCAAUAGCAUCUUCAGGUAUAGAUGCUCUACUUUUGCCAGGAGGAAGAACAGCUCAUUCAAGAUUUAAAAUACCUUUAAAUCCAAGAGAUGAUUCAGUGUGUGAUAUUAAAGCUAAUACUAUAUUAUCUAGGUUGCUAAUUGAUACUGAACUUAUAAUUUGGGAUGAAGCUCCUAUGACACAUAAGUAUACUUUUGAAUCUCUCGACAGAUCUUUGAGAGAUAUAAUGUUUAGUAGUGACCCAAAUUCUAAUAUGAAGCCUUUUGGUGGCAAAACUGUUUUGUUGGGAGGUGAUUUUUGUCAAACACUACCUAUUACAAGUCAAGGAAGCAGGCAAGAUUGUGUUUCAGCAUCAAUCAACCGUUCUUAUCUUUGGAAUUACUGUCAAGUUUUUACGCUUUCAGAAAAUAUGUGUUUAGGAAAAACAGAAAAAGAUUUUGCAAAGUGGAUUUUGGAUGUUGGAAACGGUAUUGCUAAAAGGAAAAUCGUUCUUAAAUGAAUUUUCAGAAGUUGAUCAAAUCAUUGUGGAUGAGAAUUUGUUGCUAAACGUUAAACAUAAUAGUAUCUCAGCCAUUGCAGAACAUGUCUACACAUCAUUUGAAAAAAACUAUGCUAAUCCAAAUUAUCUAAGGGAUAGAGCUAUUAUUACUCCAAGAAAUGAAAUUGUGGAUGAAAUUAACAAAGUAAUGUUAGAUUGGUGAUAUGUCCCGGCUUUUACUGAUUUCUACCAUAAUUUUAGAAUGUUUUUAGAGUCGAUCUAGUCCUUUUUGUAUGUUUUGAGUCGUUUCAGGUGCAAUUAUGAUAAUAGGUUUUUAAGAUCAAUUAAUCCUAAAACACUAUCCUGUCGUUGUAGUAUUUUAGGUGUCAAUCCAAAUGGGUGUGAUGCAAACAGAUGAGAUAUGAUCAGAAGUUGCUAAGUAGAGCCAAGCAAUAUUUGGUUGGUUUUCUAAAGUCCUAGUGUUUGAUGCAGAAAACAUUAAAAAGUCACAGAAAUGACUGAUAUACUCGAUCGUAGGGUCGACUGCCAGAAGGGACCCUAUGAUCGAGUACAACGGGAUGACACAGAGUGAAAAUUCAGAAAUGGAGCAGUUUACUCUAUCACACAGUCUCACUGUUAGUAGCAAGGUGUGAUCGAGUAGAAUGGUUGAAAACUGGAAAAUACUAAAAUUUAAUAGCAAGUGAAUGACGUAGGUAAAUAAACAGAGAAAUCAAUUGGAUGAGAAAUUCCUAAUGAUGGGGUAAUCGAAUAGUGUGGACUCCCUAAUCAAUUCAGUUGGUUAUCAAAUCUCAAUAAAGCUUUCCCUAGACAAUGGGUUCAACAAAAGAUUAAUUUACUCCCUCGAUAGAAAUCCUCAAGCAAAGCUAGCCCACACUAAUUUCCAUUAAUGGAAUCUAACAAUGCAGACAAUAAGAAUGGACUGAUAAAGUCAAUAAACGGUCAAAACGGCCAAUCUCUUGGGAUAGAGACGGUUAUCACUGGAAUUAGUAGAUCUAACGUUCCAUUAAACGCCUUUUGAGCGCUGAAACGUCUAGGAUUGGAUUCCAGUUGAUCAGAAAGUAAUAAGCAGUAAACACAACUAAUCCAGAAGGGAUUCAAUAAAUAUACACUUAACCAACAUAUUCGACCAGGGGUUCCACAACUACUAUAUCCCAUCCUCAGAAAUCCUAAUCACUACUCAAACAACAUGCUCAAAGACAACAACAUAUAAGCGAUUGAAGAUUGCAUACUUCUAAAGAUCAAAGGAAAUGAAACAGAAAUGAACAAGUAAAUGAAAGCAAAAUCUGAAUAACUUAGAAGAAAAAUCGAAGUACGAAGUUAUAGGAAUGAAAAGCGGCUGCUGAAUAAGUUGCAGAAAUCUCUGUAAAAAGUAGGUGUAUGUCUCCCUAUCCCAGGGCAAAACCCUUAGAGACUUAUUUAUACUUAAAACGAUAAGGAUAAGGAAGCGGGCUUUGAGCCCACUUAACGGCCCAUGGACGAUGUGAUCAAGAGUGUCGGCUCAAAGCAGGCUUCCUAAUGGGCUUCGAAGUGGGCUUCGAAUGGACUUCGAAUGGGCUUUCAAUGGGCCUUAUCUUCUCUUCUCUUUUAGUUGCUCAGGUUGUCAGGUUGAGUGCGGACUGAUCAGAGGGUCGAGGUGGUGGUUGAGUAGGUUGGUUGACAGAAUGGUCUGGGCUGCUUCUUGGCCUCUAUGAUCGAGUAUAUUGGCAGCUGUCAGGAUGGACUGGUUCUUCUCCUCUGCGAUCGAGUAAAACUGCCAGGAUGGACUCCUUCAGCUCUGUUAUCGAGUAGAACUGCAGAAUGGACUGCCUCCUCACCUCUACGAUCGAGUAUAUCUGGCAGAAUGGACUGCCUGGUCUCCUCUGCGAUCGAGUAGAAGUGUCUGGAUGGACUGCUGAGCUGACUGCUUCCCUCUCUACUACUGGUGAUCGAGUAUGUUAGUGGAAAUGUGACUUUCUGUUAUGUCUUUCCUCUUUCUGAGCACCAAUAGCUCCAAAGUACCUGAAAUAACUCCAGAAUGCAGAAUCUAUGCAAGACUAGUCCUAGACUCGACUAAAAAUGCAAAAUGUACAAAACUGAUUAUGAAUGCUAUGAAAGAUGGAUGAAACUAGACUCAAAAUGAUGAUAAAAGGAUGUGUAAAACAUGCAAAUUAUAGACAUAUCAAAUUACACAUUUGUGAUCUAUGGAGCAUAAUAAGGGAUCUUGGGAGCUUUUCAGCAAUGAAAUUUAUCAAAGACGUUUUUCACACGAUGGUAUGAAUCGACACCACACCUAUGUCAAUCGACACCCUUAUUUCGGCUGAAGGAAUUUCCGCUUUUUACCAAGUCUUUGAGAAGUCGUGAAGUUUCCCUUAUUUGCAAAAUAGUCCCUGGACAUUUCUAUUCACUUAUACCUAAUUAUUUGGUCAUUGGUGAUACCUAAGUUUUGUUAAGUUUUGUUUUAUUAUUGAGAGACACUUGUGGAGAGAAGAAUCCAAUCCCUACAGAGAGGAUUCUGAACUCCUUUUACUCUAUUUCUAAUUCAUCAAUGCAAACUAUUCAGAUUAUGAUUUGUGUUUUUGUUAUCAUGUCUGAGUAAUAACCUUGUUGGGUUUAGGGAGUCUCCAUAGGGAUUUAGAUGGAUUAGUAUAUCGAAAACCCCUUAGGGUCAUUUUUAGGGUUCUUCAUCUUGAUUAUUCUUACUGCUAGUUUUAGAUUGAUCACCUAGAACUUGAUAUUAGAUAAUAGGUAUGCCCACCAUAGCUACUUGUUAUUUGAACAAUCAUUGAUGAGCCUAGGCAUUUAAGAAAGAACAGGUUUGCUCAUAGAAGGGCUUUGGUUUAGAUACUAGGUGAACUAAUCAAACUUGAUAAUAAUGCAUGCUUUAGUAUAUGGUUUCUCGGCUUUUUCGGUUAUCUUAGCUCUAAGUAUAGAGAGUUUUGCGAACACCACUGGUUACUCUAAAGUCAUAGUUUGAGUUUGAGAACGGUGCGAUAACAACCCUAAUAUUAGCUAGAUCUACAAUUUAUGUAUCUCCCGAGACAAUUCCCUAGACCCAACGCUUUAAUCACUUGUAUCUACAGUUUACUUGCUUUAUUGUGUUUUACAUUUAUAUACUUUUUCUAGCUUAUUUGAAUACAUCAUAAGUCUAUUGUGUGAACAUCGAGAGCUUAGUAGAAUUCGACCCUUAAGUGCUAACGACGAUCUCUUAUUUGAGGGAGUAAGCUUAAGGCAAUUUGAGCUAUAUCAAUUGGCUUCCAAGUAACAUAAAGGUGUAUCAAGAGCAGAUUCAGUGACUAAUAAUGAAUAUGAAGAAACAGAUUUUGGUUUACAGUAUCCUGUCGAGUAUUUAAACACUAAAAAUUUAUCAGGAUUUCCACAUCAUAAAUUAUAUCUUAAAGUCAAUACACCAAUUUUGCUUAUCCGGAAUCUUUGUCAACGAGAUGGGUUAUGUAACGGUACUUGUUUGAUAGUUCUUCGUAUGGGUCAUAGAGUAAUUGAGGCUAAGAUAAUUACUGGAGCUAAUGCUGGUGAUAUAGUACUUCUUCCUAGAAUUGUACUAUCUCAAAAUGAUGGAAAUAUACCAGUUGUUAUUCGAAGAAAACAGUUUCCAAUGAGAACUUGCUUUGCAAUGGCAAUUAAUAAAAGUCAAGGUGAAAGUCUUAACAGAGUAGGUUUGUUUCUUCCUAGACCAGUGUUUAGUCAUGGACAAAUGUAUGUUGCAUUGUCUAGAGUCACUUCUUUAGAAGGAUUAAAAAUUUAUCAAGGUCAUAAAAACAAUGAAGAAAAGAGUAUAGUUUGUAGUAUUGUGUACAAAGAAGUAUAUAAAAAUCUAUAAGUUUGUAAUUUUUUUUAGUUUUCAUUUUGUUAUAUUAUUACGGAGGAACAAACCCAAGAAAGAGAAAAAUCUUUUCAUACGAAAAGAAUAGACAAACUCGUAAAAGAUAGCUUCGAUGAUAUAAGAAAGAAAUAGUUAAUUAGUUUCUCCUCAUGCCGAAAUCUGUUAGAUGACGGGAACAUAUAUAAACUAAAGAUUAUUAGAUUGAAAGUAGAUGUAAUAAGGGUAUAUGGUUCUGAAUACAACAGAGAAGUUUAAAAAUGUUAAUUUCUCUAUUUAUCUAUAAAACUGUCUCCUAUACCCCAAUUUUAUUUUGCUUACGGGUAUGAUUGAAUAUUUAGUAUAUAGUUUAGUUUAGAAUUAGUUCUGUCAAUUUAGUGUUUUAUUUGUCUAAGCCAAAUCAUAUGGGUCCCUUUAACAAUGAAUUAAUUAACCACUUUAACAUUUUUGUUGCAUCUGGCGAAUAUUGAAAGUCUAUGAAACAGUCCCUAUAGCAAUAAGGCCCCUUCUUAUUUGAGCCCUUCUCAAUAUUAAUAUGGGUUACAAAAUAGGUUUCGUAAUUUGUUAAUAAGAAAAAAAAAUGGACACUUGACUAUGAUAUUCUUGGGUCUUUUUAAAAAUUUAUUAAAUAAAAUUAGCUAUUUCUGUAAAAUAAAUUAAUGGAAAAUGAAAUGGCAAACACACCCUAUUUGGGCCGAGCCUGCAUCUCAUAUUUGUUUUAGGGAUAAUGUGACAACAACACGGUCUUAAGCCUAAUACGUAAAGAUGCGACUAUUUUUUUUUAACAACCUUUAAAAAUCAUUUACGUCUAUUCAAACGUUUGACGAACGUCGCUGUGACAGUCUAUGUAAACUAGAGAUAUUUUGGAAAAUGAUACGUUUUUUGAACAUAAUUAUGAAAGCAGUACGGUUGCUAUUCAUAAUAGGUGAUUUCUCCGGGACCACCGUUCCGUCAAAUACAUGAGCUUCGUAAUAUAUAUAAAGUGGUGCAUAUUAGCUUUUGUGGAAAUUACGGUAAAGGACUUCUUUUGUUUUGUAGAUGAAACGAAACCCUCUAGCCGAGUUCAGGUUUUUGUUUUAGUAAGUCAGAGUCAAAGUUAAUAAAUCUCGGAUCGGUAUGGGCUCAACGAAAUCGUAAAUGGGCCUUAAAACAAAUUUUCUAUAAUUUGAAUCAUUGGAAGCGUUGAAACUAAAUUGCCUUCGUCGUCGUCAAAAUCAAUGUCGGAGUGGGAGCUGAGAGAAACGAUGACAUUUAUGAGUGUUUCAAAUCAACGAAAUUAGUUUACUGGUUGGUGAAUAAAAUCAUAUAAUAUUCAGAUUCUCUUUAGGUUUUUCUCGAGAUUAGCUAAUUUUUUAGGGGGGAAUUUUAGCUCUUUUUCGAGAAUUAAGUGUUUUAAAGCAAAAAAGAAGAAUAUGAUUGUCAGUUUUGGUUGUGUAUCUUUAUUCCUGAGGACCUUCAACUCAGAGAAUCUACCAUGG
rnacentral:lncRNA from 1 species